AAUUAAACAUGGGAUCAUAAAUAGAGAAGCUUACAGAAGAUGGGGCCUUUCAAAUGAAGGAGAGUAAGGAAAGUGAUUGGGCUAUUUUAAGAAGUGAAGAAUCAAUUGUCGUGUGUUUGGAAUUCAAGAUAUUGUACAACUAUUCCCACAAGAAGAAGCAUUUCCCUACAGCCUAGUACAGGGUACCAUAUGGCAAUAUAAAUCCAAAGGACAAAUGAGGCCGAGUAAAAAGCCACUCUCCUGCAAAUUUAGUCUAAAUUGUUUGCUUACAAAAGGACUCACUCCAUUUACAUACUAAGGGAAAAAUUCUGCUUGAGAAAUUAGACUUAGCUGUCAUAUCCAAUACUCUUAUUACUCAAUUAUAGUGUUUGUAAUGUACUGAAUAGGUUAAUUUGAAUAAAUUCACAAUUGUUUAGAAAUUUUGUUUGUUUAUUUUUUUUCCUCCCUCCUUCGUAGGUUUUGA